GACGAACGCUGGCGGCGUGCCUAACACAUGCAAGUCGAACGGAAAGGCCGUGCUUUUGUGUGGUGCUCGCGGGGCGAGCGGGUGAGUAACCCGUGAGUAUCCCGCCCUUGACUUUGGGAUAACUUCAGAAAGCUGGUGCUAACACCGGAGAGCAGCUGCUGCUGCAGGGUGGGGGUUGGACAUCUCCCGCUCAGGUGAAUCUAGGUCGGAUUUGUUAGUUGGUGGGGUAAAUGGCGACCAAGGCGGCGAUUCGCAACUGGUCUGAGAGGAUGAGCAGUCACACUGGAACUGAGACACGGCCCAGACUCCUACGGGAGGCAGCAGUGGGGAAUAUUGGACAAUGGGCGAAAGCCUGAUCCAGCCAUGCCGCGUGUGUGAAGAAGGUCUUCGGAUUGGAAAGCACGUUAAGUGGGGAGGAAGGGCAGUAAGUUAAUACCGUGCUGUUUUGACGUUACCAACAGAAUAAGCACCGGCUAACUUCGUG
rnacentral:rRNA from 1 species